UACGAAGGGGGCUAGCGUUGCUCGGAAUCACUGGGCGUAAAGGGUGCGUAGGCGGGUCUUUUAAGUCAGGGGUGAAAUCCUGGAGCUCAACUCCAGAACUGCCUUUGAUACUGAAGAUCUUGAGUUCGGGAGAGGUGAGUGGAACUGCGAGUGUAGAGGUGAAAUUCGUAGAUAUUCGCAAGAACACCAGUGGCGAAGGCGGCUCACUGGCCUGUACUGACGCUGAG
rnacentral:rRNA from 1 species